GAUGAACGCUGGCGGCGUGCCUAAUACAUGCAAGUCGAGCGAACAGAUGAGGAGCUUGCUCCUCUGACGUUAGCGGCGGACGGGUGAGUAACACGUGGAUAACCUACCUAUAAGACUGGGAUAACUUCGGGAAACCGGAGCUAAUACCGGAUAAUAUCUUGAACCGCAUGGUUCAAUAGUGAAAGACGGUUUUGCUGUCACUUAUAGAUGGAUCCGCGCCGCAUUAGCUAGUUGGUAAGGUAACGGCUUACCAAGGCAACGAUGCGUAGCCGACCUGAGAGGGUGAUCGGCCACACUGGAACGGAGACACGGUCCAGACUCCUACGGGAGGCAGCAGUAGGGAAUCUUCCGCAAUGGGCGAAAGCCUGACGGAGCAACGCCGCGUGAGUGAUGAAGGUCUUCGGAUCGUAAAACUCUGUUAUUAGGGAAGAACAAAUGUGUAAGUAACUAUGCACGUCUUGACGGUACCUAAUCAGAAAGCCACGGCUAACUACGUG
rnacentral:rRNA from 1 species